UACGUAGGGGGCAAGCGUUGUCCGGAUUUAUUGGGCGUAAAGAGCUCGUAGGCGGCUUGGCAAGUCGGGUGUGAAACUCCAGGCUCAACCUGGAGAUGCCACUCGAGACUGCUAUGGCUAGAGUCCGGGUAGGGACCACGGAAUUCCUGGUGAGCGGUGAAUGCGCAGAUAUCAGGAGGAACACCGGUGCGAAGGCGGUGUCUGGACCGGCACUGACGCGUGAGGA
rnacentral:rRNA from 1 species